UACGGAAGGCAGCAGUGGGGAAUAUUGCACAAUGGGCGCAAGCCUGAUGCAGCCAUGCCGCGUGUAUGAAAAAGGCCUUCGGGUUGUAAAGUACUUUCAGUCGUGAGGAAGGUGUUAAGGUUAAUAACCUUAGCAAUUGACGUUAGCGACAGAAGAAGCACCGGCUAACUCCGUGCCAGCAGCCGCGGUAAUACGGAGGGUGCGAGCGUUAAUCGGAAUUACUGGGCGUAAAGGGCACGCAGGCGGUUAAUUAAGUUGGAUGUGAAAUCCCCGGGCUUAACCUGGGAAUGGCAUUCAAGACUGGUUAGCUAGAGUCUUGUAGAGGGGGUAGAAUUCCAUGUGUAGCGGUGAAUGCGUAGAGAUGUGGAGGAAUACCGGUGGCGAAGGCGGCCCCUGGACAAAGACUGACGCUCAUGUGCGAAAGCGUGGGGAGCGAAACAGGGAUUAGAUACC
rnacentral:rRNA from 1 species